rnacentral:rRNA from 1 species
GGCCUUGCGCUCUUUGAGCGGCCGAUGUCAGAUUAGCUAGUUGGUGAGGUAAAGGCUUACCAAGGCGACGAUCUGUAGCGGGUCUGAGAGGAUGAUCCGCCACACUGCAACUGAGACACGGUCCAGACUCCUACGGGAGGCAGCAGUGGCGAAUUUUGGACAAUGGGCGCAAGCCUGAUCCAGCCAUGCCGCGUGAGUGAAGAAGGCCUUCGGGUUGUAAAGCUCUUUCGGCCGGGAAGAAAUCGCGUGGGUUAAUACCCUGUGUGGAUGACGGUACCGGAAUAAGAAGCACCGGCUAACUACGUGCCAGCAGCCGCGGUAAUACGUAGGGUGCGAGCGUUAAUCGGAAUUACUGGGCGUAAAGCGUGCGCAGGCGGUUUUGUAAGACAGGCGUGAAAUCCCCGGGCUUAACCUGGGAACUGCGUUUGUGACUGCAAGACUAGAGUACGGCAGAGGGGGGUGGAAUUCCACGUGUAGCAGUGAAAUGCGUAGAGAUGUGGAGGAACACCAAUGGCGAAGGCGGCCCACUGGGUCGAUACUGACGCUCAUGCACGAAAGCGUGGGUAGCAAACAGGAUUAGAUACCCUGGUAGUCCACGCCCUAAACUAUGUCAACUAGGUGUUGGGUGGGUAAAACCAUUUAGUACCGUAGCUAACGCGUGAAGUUGACCGCCUGGGGAGUACGGCCGCAAGGUUAAAACUCAAAGGAAUUGACGGGGACCCGCACAAGCGGUGGAUGAUGUGGAUUAAUUCGAUGCAACGCGAAAAACCUUACCUACCCUUGACAUGCCAGGAACUUGUCAGAGAUGGCUUGGUGCCCGAAAGGGAGCCUGGACACAGGUGCUGCAUGGCUGUCGUCAGCUCGUGUCGUGAGAUGUUGGGUUAAGUCCCGCAACGAGCGCAACCCUUGUCGUUAAUUGCCAUCAUUUAGUUGGGCACUUUAGCGAGACUGCCGGUGACAAACCGGAGGAAGGUGGGGAUGACGUCAAGUCCUCAUGGCCCUUAUGGGUAGGGCUUCACACGUCAUACAAUGGUCGGUACAGAGGGUUGCCAACCCGCGAGGGGGAGCCAAUCCCAGAAAGCCGAUCGUAGUCCGGAUUGCAGGCUGCAACUCGCCUGCAUGAAGUCGGAAUCGCUAGUAAUCGCGGAUCAGCAUGCCGCGGUGAAUGCGUUCCCGGGUCUUGUACACACCGCCCGUCACACCAUGGGAGCGGGUUCCGCCAGAAGUAGGUAGCCUAACCGCAAGGAGGGCGCUUACCACGGCGGG